rnacentral:rRNA from 1 species
CCUACGGGAGGCAGCAGUGAGGAAUAUUGGUCAAUGGGCGGGAGCCUGAACCAGCCAAGCCGCGUGAGGGAAGAAGGUACAGCGUAUCGUAAACCUCUUUUGUCAGGGAACAAAGGCGGGGACGUGUCCCCGGAUGAGUGUACCUGAAGAAAAAGCAUCGGCUAACUCCGUGCCAGCAGCCGCGGUAAUACGGAGGAUGCGAGCGUUAUCCGGAUUUAUUGGGUUUAAAGGGUGCGCAGGCGGUCUGUUAAGUCAGCGGUCAAAGCCCGGGGCUCAACCCCGGCCCGCCGUUGAAACUGGCAGUCUCGAGUUGGAGAGAAGUAUGCGGAAUGCGCGGUGUAGCGGUGAAAUGCAUAGAUAUCGCGCAGAACUCCGAUUGCGAAGGCAGCAUGCCGGCUCCACACUGACGCUGAGGCACGAAAGCGUGGGUAUCGAACAGGAUUAGAUACCCUGGUAGUC